GACAGGCCAUCACCCACCCUGCAGGCAGCCAGGAUCGCUGCUCGCAGUCGCAGCCGGAACCCUACCGGCGGCGGCGCGCGGCACAGUGGCCGGAGGCGAGGGCGAACGCAGGCGGCGGCAGGGGCGCAGCCGCACAGCCGCGCAGGACGUAGGGGAGCCGCGGUCUACGGAGGCAGCCAGCAGGCAGGGGCUGAAGGCGCGGGCAACGGGCGGCGCGGCCGGUGGCGAGGGCAGAUUGGCAGCGGCGCAGCCGUGCAGGCCUCAGGGGAGCCACGGUCCGCGGGCCGCGGGCCGCGGGCCGCGGGCAACGGGCGGCGGCAAGGCGGGUUGCCGGAUGCGGGUGGAGGCUAGGCGCCUGAGGCGCAGGCAGGCAGCGCCGCGGCGGGUGGCGAGCCAGUGGCAGGAGCGGCAGGCGGCAUCAGGGUACAGGGAGCAGGCGCAGGGGCUAACGUGACCAGCUGAGUGAGGAUCAAGACUAAUUGAGGUCCGCCAGUAGCCUCACAUGUUCCGAAUCGAUUGCCGUGGUGAGCGAUAUCGGCGAGCUUAGCGGCGGGGAAAUGCCUCAGCGAGCUCUGCAACCUACAGUUCGUACAUAUGGCAUCCGUGAGGUUGCUCGGCUUGCUCAGAUCAACCCUGAUUGCAUGCUUUGUUCACUGGACUUCCACGGCUGUUUGCUUGUGUUGGAGGGAAGAGCAGAAGAGUGAAUUUCCAUGGAAGCUUGCAUGUGUGUGGGGAAGAGCAGAACAAGGAAGGAAAAGGGGGAAGGCUUCAUCUCUCUCAAUGCCCACGAUGGCACGGAGUGUUGUUGCACAACUUAUAUCAGUCUGUUCAGCUAAUCCUACUCUAUUUGCAUCGAAUGGAAGAACAAAUUAAUAUUUUUCUUCAUAGAAACUGUUAUAGACAGUAUGCAUUGGAGAGGUAGUAUUUACAUGCAUAUUUAUUACACUC